UACGUAGGGUGCAAGCGUUAAUCGGAAUUACUGGGCGUAAAGCGUGCGCAGGCGGUUGUGCAAGUCAGAUGUGAAAUCCCCGGGCUCAACCUGGGAACUGCAUUUGUGACUGCACAGCUUGAGUGCGGCAGAGGGGGAUGGAAUUCCGCGUGUAGCAGUGAAAUGCGUAGAUAUGCGGAGGAACACCGAUGGCGAAGGCAAUCCCCUGGGCCUGCACUGACGCUCAUGCACGAAAGCGUGGGGAGCAAACAGG
rnacentral:rRNA from 1 species